GAUGAACGCUGGCGGCGUGCCUAAUACAUGCAAGUCGAGCGAACAGACGAGGAGCUUGCUCCUCUGACGUUAGCGGCGGACGGGUGAGUAACACGUGGAUAACCUACCUAUAAGACUGGGAUAACUUCGGGAAACCGGAGCUAAUACCGGAUAAUAUAUUGAACCGCAUGGUUCAAUAGUGAAAGACGGUUUUGCUGUCACUUAUAGAUGGAUCCGCGCCGCAUUAGCUAGUUGGUAAGGUAACGGCUUACCAAGGCAACGAUGCGUAGCCGACCUGAGAGGGUGAUCGGCCACACUGGAACUGAGACACGGUCCAGACUCCUACGGGAGGCAGCAGUAGGGGAUCUUCCGCAAAGGGCGAAAGCCUGACGGAGCAACGCCGCGUGAGUGAUGAAGGUCUUCGGAUCGUAAAACUCUGUUAUUAGGGAAGAACAAAUGUGUAAGUAACUAUGCACGUCUUGACGGUACCUAAUCAGAAAGCCACGGCUAACUACGUG
rnacentral:rRNA from 1 species